rnacentral:rRNA from 1 species
UCGAGCGAAGCGGUUUCAUGAAGUUUUCGGAUGGAAUUGAAAUUGACUUAGCGGCGGACGGGUGAGUAACGCGUGGGUAACCUGCCUUACACUGGGGGAUAACAGUUAGAAAUGACUGCUAAUACCGCAUAAGCGCACAGGGCCGCAUGGUCUGGUGUGAAAAACUCCGGUGGUGUAAGAUGGACCCGCGUCUGAUUAGGUAGUUGGUGGGGUAACGGCCCACCAAGCCGACGAUCAGUAGCCGACCUGAGAGGGUGACCGGCCACAUUGGGACUGAGACACGGCCCAAACUCCUACGGGAGGCAGCAGUGGGGAAUAUUGGACAAUGGGCGAAAGCCUGAUCCAGCGACGCCGCGUGAGUGAAGAAGUAUUUCGGUAUGUAAAGCUCUAUCAGCAGGGAAGAAAAUGACGGUACCUGACUAAGAAGCCCCGGCUAACUACGUGCCAGCAGCCGCGGUAAUACGUAGGGGGCAAGCGUUAUCCGGAUUUACUGGGUGUAAAGGGAGCGUAGACGGUUAAGCAAGUCUGAAGUGAAAGCCCGGGGCUCAACCCCGGUACUGCUUUGGGAACUGUUUGACUUG